UAACACCCCGGUUUUACCAAGACAAAAAUAAAUAAAUAAAAAUAAAAAAAGAACUUAAUAGAGCUGAAUAAACUUGACAAUUUACCCUUUUAAAUGGGUUAUUUAUAAUUUGAAGGGAUAAAAUGAAAGGCAUUGAGUGAUGCCAAUCAAUUGAUAAUAUUUAAACUCACAGGAUUGCAUAAGUUUAGUUUCGCGACUCUGAUCAUAAUCAACAAUAACUUUAUUAAUAGAAAUAUGAGUUAAAAAGUUCUAGCUCAACAAGAUAAUAUUGCAUCAUAUAAUAGGAGUUCUUAGUUUAGGGAAUUGAAAGACAUGAUAUCAAGCUAGUCAUUAGCGGAAGCAAAAGCCAGCGUGGAACCCUAGCCUCAGCUCAACCCCAUCUGCACCAACCGAUCAACCUGAAAACAUUUAAAAAUAUUUUGGGCUGAGCACUAGUGUACUCAGUGAACAUGAGUUUGCAAGAUAUUUUAUGAAAUAAUUAAAUAGAGCAGUUUAUCCAAUAUCACAAUCAUGACUCAGAAGGUUUUAAAACAGAAAUUCACUUCUAAGCAUGACAAAACUUUUCUCAUUAAGUGGCGCGCCAUGUGACGUUUGAUUGUUACUCGCUGCUUAUGAUCCCGGACCUCUAGCCACCGACGGAUCGCUUUCUUUCUCCCAUUUAUCAAUCUCGGGACGCACCCGGUCAGAUCAAUAAUCAUAACUGUGCUUCGGAACACAUCCAGACAAGCACCCUUAUAACGCCUCUUAGCUUUGUUAGUGCCCAAAUGGCGAUCAACCCAUUGAGCAACUAACCUUGUGUACACAAUCCUCAUCUAACGUGUUAGGUCAAAUGAGAAUCUCGAUCGAUGCUUAUGCGAGCAUUAAACAAUACAGAACGCACAUAAAAACAUUUAUAUUGGAUAAACGAACAUUUUCAACUUUCAUGAAAUAUCAGAGCUUAUAUAACUCAAGAUACAUUUGUAAAAUAAAGCCCACCUUGAUUGGACAAAGUCCGAAGUCAAACGUAACUCGUCUCGUAAAAGCAAUGCUAAUCCUCUUGGUCAAUUGAGCCUACAAGAUAAUCUAAUCUUAAUAGGUCUCGUGAUACUAGCCUUAGAUAAUAGCAAAACGAGGCUACUAAAUUCUGAUUCGCUAUGCCCGGGUUUUAAAACUCACUUUAUAAACUUGAAAAAUAAAUUAAACCAACUUAAAUUAAGGCCCAAGUAAUAAAUAAUAAUUGGCAACCUAAUUCUUUAAUAACUAAAGCUCAAAUUUCAAUUAAGAAAAGAGUCAACUUAAAAAGAAUAAGCCCAUCAAUUAAAUCAACCCAACACUAAUAAAAGACUAUGCUGAAACCCAAUUAAAUGAGCCCAACUGAAAUAAAAUCAAGCCCAAACCAUAAUUAGACCAAGCCCAAUCCACUCCUCUCUCUCCUUUUUAUUCUCAUAUGCGUCUCUCUCUCUCUCAAAUCUCACAGCCACAGGAAUCGCUCCUCUCCCAAGCCGCCGUCCACCUCCAGCAAGACCGGCGGCGCUUCGCCGGCGCUCAUCACCUUCACCCUCACCAGCAUCUGCAUCUGCCGACUCUCCCUCUCAACAUCUCGUCCCACUCUCUCUGUCUCUAUCCUUUCUCUCGCCAUAAACAGCUGCGGUCGCCGCCCCCUUCACCUCUCCGCCGCCUCUUUUCUCCAUCUCCAUCCCCCAAUUGUUAUCUAAACCCCCGAGAUACAGAAACCCAAAAUCUCUCUCUCAAGACUCAAAUUAGAAAACCACUCUCUCCCCUCUUCCUCUCACUCAUCCGCCUGCCACUUUCUACCAUAGCAGCGGCUUCGCCGCCUCCUUCCCGUCCUCCCUCGACGGACAGCCAGUGGCCGUCAAAAUUGCCGCCGCCUCUUCUCUAUUUCUCACGGCGAACGGCGAGAAUCACCGUUGCCCCCUUCUCUUUCGGUCCGAACAGCAGCAGCCCAUCAGCCGCUGCCGCCGCUCUCACUGCUCAACCCUCCUAGCCCGACUGAACUCACGCCAUACUAACACACACAACAAGAAUCAAGCGCAGCAAGAUCGAAGCUGUAAAGGCUGAAGUUUAUCAAAUUUAAGGUUCGUUCUCUCUGUGUUUCUUCAAUUCCUUCACAAGAGUCCAGUUCAAAGUGUAAAUGUCAAGGCACAAGUUUGAUGGUAUUGUCUAUGAUGAUUUUAAAUCAGCAGAAUUUUAUUCGUAUAUUUCUUGUUUGUUGGUUUCGUGUGUCAUCAAAGUUCAUCAGAACGAAAAGAAUAGUGUGGGAAUAAUGAAGUAAAGAUGGAAACUUUGGGGGUACCGUGAUGUGAUUAUGAAGAAGAUGAAGAGGGCUGAGCUCUGCUUCUGUUCUAUCUGCAAGUAAUAUAUGAACUGAAUAUGUAUAUUGGUGUUGUGAAAAUAUAGAACAAGUCUUGUACGAAAUUGAGUAGGAAGAUAGAACCUUGAUGAGGUGAAUGUUUUUUACUGCUUAUGCUGCUCUUGUUUAGGCGCUUCUGUAAAUUUGUGUGGAAGGAAUGGAACACAAUUACAGUUGUUUUUGGGAAGUAUAAUUGAGAUGAAAGUGAUGAGAUUCAUCUGUGGUGAAGUGUAUGGGGUAGGGCUGUGGGUAAUUUAAAGAAGACAAAGGCAGUAGAUGGGGUAAAGAAGAAGGUAACGUGGAUGAUUUCAAAUCAAAGCCUUGGGCAGAUUUUUCUAUCAAAGCUAACGUGGAUGAUCUCUUGGUGUAGAAAUCUGGAUUCUUGGCAGAUCAAGUGUGGUUGGAAAAAUAACAUUAAAAGUUUGAUAUUGGGCUCUUGAAAAUUAAAAGGACCAUGGACUAAAAAUAUAUAAUUGGGCUCUUAUAGAUAUAGGCCCAAAUUUCUUAAUCACAUAAUGGUGGUAUCAAAUAAAGGAUUCAACACUAAAUUCAAGAUUUCUACUAAAAUAUUCUAUUGGGAAAAAUCGGGGUAUUACACCAUCCCCCCUUCUUCUUCUUGAACGGCGAGGAGCGCCGCUUCCUGC
rnacentral:lncRNA from 1 species